UACGGAGGAUCCAAGCGUUAUUCGGAAUCAUUGGGUUUAAAGGGUCCGUAGGCGGUUUUGUAAGUCAGUGGUGAAAGCCCAUCGCUCAACGGUGGAACGGCCAUUGAUACUGCAAGACUUGAAUUAUUGGGAAGUAACUAGAAUAUGUAGUGUAGCGGUGAAAUGCUUAGAGAUUACAUGGAAUACCAAUUGCGAAGGCAGGUUACUACCAAUAUAUUGACGCUGAUGGACGAAAGCGUGGGGAGCGAACAGG
rnacentral:rRNA from 1 species